GACAGAGGGUGCAAACGUUGUUCGGAAUUACUGGGCGUAAAGCGUGUGUAGGCGGGCCCGUAAGUGUCUUGUGAAAUCCCACGGCUCAACCGUGGAACUGCUGGGCAUACUGCGGGUCUUGGGCCAACUAGGGGCAGCCGGAACAAGCGGUGGAGCGGUGAAAUGCGUAGAUAUCGCUUGGAACGCCGAAGGUGAAAACAGGCUGCUGGGGUUGCGCCGACGCUGAGACACGAAAGCCAGGGGAGCAAACGGG
rnacentral:rRNA from 1 species